rnacentral:rRNA from 1 species
UACGUAGGGGGCUAGCGUUGUCCGGAAUCAUUGGGCGUAAAGCGCGCGUAGGCGGCCCGGUAAGUCCGCUGUGAAAGUCAAAGGCUCAACCUUUGAAUGUCAGCGGAUACUGCCGGGCUAGAGUCCGGAAGAGGCGAGUGGAACUCCUGGUGUAGCGGUGGAAUGCGCAGAUAUCAGGAAGAACACCAAUGGCGAAAGCAGCUUUCUGGGACGGUACUGACGCUGAGACGCGAAAGCGUGGGGAGCGAACAGG